rnacentral:rRNA from 1 species
GAUGAACGCUGGCGGCGUGCCUAAUACAUGCAAGUCGAGCGAACAGACGAGGCGCUUGCUCCUCUGACGUUAGCGGCGGACGGGUGAGUAACACGUGUAUAACCUCCCUAUAAUACUGGGAUAACUUCGGGAAACCGGCGCUAAUCCCGGAUAAUAUAUUGAACCGCGUGGUUCAAUAGUGAAAGACGGUUUUGCUGUCACUUAUCGAUGGUUCCGCGCCGCAUUGGCUAGUUGGUGAGGUACCGGGGUACCAAGGGAAGCAUGCGUGGCCGACCUGAGAGGGUGAUCGGCCACACUGGAACUGGGACACGGUCCAGACUCCUACGGGAGGCAGCAGUAGGGAACCGUACGCAAUGGGCGAAAGCCUGGCGGAGCAACGCCGAGUGAGUGAUGAAGGUCUUCGGAUCGGAAAACUCUGUUAUUAGGGAAGAACAAAUGUGUAAGGAACUAUGGACGUCUUGACGGUACCUAAUCAGAAAGCCACGGCUAACUACGUG